rnacentral:rRNA from 1 species
AUCAACUUUCGAUGGUAGGAUCGAGGCCUACCAUGGUGGUAACGGGUAACGGGGUGUUAGGGCACGACACCGGAGAGGGAGCCUGAGAAACGGCUACCACAUCCAAGGAUGGCAGCAGGCGCGCAAAUUACCCAAUCCCGACACGGGGAGGUAGUGACAAUAAAUAACAAUACGGGGUUCUUUCGGAUUUCGUAAUUGGAAUGAGUACAAUUUAAAUCUCUUAACGAGGAACAAUUGGAGGGCAAGUCUGGUGCCAGCAGCCGCGGUAAUUCCAGCUCCAAUGGCGUAUAUUAAAGUUGCUGCAGUUAAAAAGCUCGUAGUUGAAUUUCGGGACCAAUAUGUCGGUCGUGCCUCGGUACGUACUGGCAUCGUUGGUUUCUCCCUUCUGACGAACCAUGAUGUCAUUCAUUUGGUGUCGUGGGGAAUCAGGACUGUUACUUUGAAAAAAUUAGAGUGUUUAAAGCAGGCUCACGCUUGAAUACAUUAGCAUGGAAUAAUGAAAUAGGACGUUUGAUUCUAUUUUGUUGGUUUCUAGGAUCGACGUAAUGAUUAAUAGGGAUAGUUGGGGGCAUUAGUAUUCAAUUGUCAGAGGUGAAAUUCUUGGAUUUAUUGAAGACUAACUACUGCGAAAGCAUUUGCCAAGGAUGUUUUCAUUAAUCAAGAACGAAAGUUAGGGGAUCGAAGACGAUCAGAUACCGUCGUAGUCUUAACCAUAAACUAUGCCGACUAGGGAUCGGAUGAUGUUAAUUUUUUAAUGACUCAUUCGGCGCCUUACGGGAAACCAAAGUGUUUGGGUUC